rnacentral:rRNA from 1 species
UACGUAGGGGCCAAGCGUUGUUCGGAUUUACUGGGCGUAAAGGGCGCGUAGGCGGCGUGGUAAGUCACUUGUGAAAUCUCCGAGCUUAACUCGGAACGGUCAAGUGAUACUGCUGUGCUAGAGUACAGAAGGGGCAAUCGGAAUUCUUGGUGUAGCGGUGAAAUGCGUAGAUAUCAAGAGGAACACCUGAGGUGAAGGCGGGUUGCUGGGCUGAUACUGACGCUGAGGCGCGAAAGCUAGGGUAGCAAACGGG